CUAAGUGGAAAAGGAUGUGGGGUUUCAUAAACAACCAGGAUGUUGGCUCAGAAGCAGCCACCAUUUAAAGAGUGCGUAAUAGCUCACUGGUCGAGAGACCCUGCGCCGAAGAUUCCCGGGGCUAAAGUACGAAACCGAAGCUGUGGCUGUAUACGUAAAGUAUACGGGGUAGGGGAGCGUUCCCAUAGGGUAGAAGUCGAACUGGAAGGUUCGGUGGACUUGUGGGAAGUGAGAAUGUUGGUAUGAGUAGCGAAAAGAAAGGUGAGAAUCCUUUCCACCGAAAGCAUAAGGAUUCCUGAGCAACGAUCGUCGUCUCAGGGUAAGUCGGGACCUAAUCCGAGGCAGAGAGCGUAGGAGAUGGACAACUGGUUGAUAUUCCAGUACCGGUAGUAAUUGUUUGAGCAAUGGAGUGACACAGAAGGGCAGGCAAGCAUGCGAAUGGAAGAGCAUGUGUAAGCGUGUAGGGUGGUGCAUAGGCAAAUCCGUGCACUGAAAGCCUGAGGCGUGAUGCGGAGUGAGCAGAGAUGCGAGCGAAGUUGUUGACCCCACACUGUCGAGAAAAGCUUCUAGUGAGAGAGCUACCGCCCGUACCGUAAACCGACACAGGUAUGCGGGGAGAGAAUCCUAAGGUGCGCGGGAGAACCCUCGUUAAGGAACUCGGCAAAAUGUACCCGUAACUUCGGGAUAAGGGUAGCCACUGUUGUGAAGUCCCAUGCGGAUGGAGCAUAGAGUGGUCGCAGAGAAGAGGCCCAAGCGACUGUUUACCAUAAACACAGGUGCCUGCUAAAGCGAAAGCUGACGUAUAGGUGCUGACACCUGCCCAGUGCCGGAAGGUUAAGGAAGGAUGUUCGGAUUAGUCCAAAGCAUUCGACUGAAGCCCCGGUGAACGGCGGCCGUAACUAUAACGGUCCUAAGGUAGCGAAAUUCCUUGUCGGGUAAGUUCCGACCCGCACGAAAGGUGUAACGAUUUGGGCACUGUCUCAACGAGGGACCCGGUGAAAUUGAAAUACCUGUGAAGAUGCAGGUUACCCGCGACUGGACAGAAAGACCCCAUGGAGCUUUACUGUAACCUGACAUUGGGUUUUGAUACAUUACGUACAGGAUAGGUGGGAGGCAUGGAAAGCUGGACGCUAGUCUGGCUGGAGCCGACGUUGGGAUACCACCCUUGAUGUAUUGAAAUUCUAACCGCGAGAGUAACGAAAUCCGGGACAGUGUCAGGCGGGCAGUUUGACUGGGGCGGUCGCCUCCGAAAGAGUAACGGAGGCGCCCAAAGGUUCCCUCAGCGCGGCCGGAAAUCGCGCGAAGAGUGUAAAGGCAGAAGGGAGCUUGACUGCGAGACGGACAGGUCGAGCAGGGACGAAAGUCGGGCUUAGUGAUCCGGUGGUGCCGAGUGGAAGGGCCAUCGCUCAACGGAUAAAAGCUACCCUGGGGAUAACAGGCUAAUCUCUCCCAAGAGUCCAUAUCGACGGGGAGGUUUGGCACCUCGAUGUCGGCUCAUCACAUCCUGGGGCUGAAGUCGGUCCCAAGGGUUGGGCUGUUCGCCCAUUAAAGUGGUACGUGAGCUGGGUUCAGAACGUCGUGAGACAGUUCGGUCCCUAUCCAUCGCGGGCGCAAGAGAUUUGAAGGGGGCUGCUCCUAGUACGAGAGGACCGGAGUGGACGAACCGCUGGUGUACCAAUUAUCCCGCCAGGGGUACAGUUGGGUAGCUACGUUCGGAAAGGAUAAACGCUGAAAGCAUCUAAGCGUGAAACCAGCCUUAAGAUGAGAUCUCUCAUAGAGCAAUCUAGU
rnacentral:rRNA from 1 species